AAGAUUUCUGUAGUUCACUCUAUUUCAACCCAUUGACGAAGGUAUCUACCGCAAUUUCUUCUAAGACGCUGUCUGGCACCUCCAGAUAAGCCAACCGCACCACACGAGCCACAUCUGCUUCAAAUUCUUGAAGAUUCUCACUUGCUCGUUGACUUCUACUUCGCAGUUGGGCUUUGUAUACUUGUUGUAGAUGGGCAUCUCCAUAGCGUUUUUCUAGACGAGGGAACAAGGUCUGGUAACAAUUUUCUUGACCCUUAGGAAUUGAUCUUAAUAUAUCUGCAGCAUCACCUCGCAAAGCAGCAGUCAAGGAAACAGCCUUUUCCUGUUCGGUCCAAUGAUUGGCGGUCGCAAUAGCUUCAAACUGUCUAAGAUAUAUGGACCAAGAGGACUUUCCAUCAAAUGGUGGUAAUUUGAAUCUGAUAUUGUGC
rnacentral:lncRNA from 1 species